rnacentral:lncRNA from 1 species
UGGGGCCGCCCUCCUCCCGCCGGCCCGCGCGGCGCUCGCCUUCCCCGGCCGCCGCGCCGCUCGCGAGCUCUGCGCUGCCGGUUCCCACCCGCAGUCCCCGGGCGUCCCGGCCCACUCGUGGCGGAGUCGGCUCGUGCCGCUACCUGCAGGGGCCGCCGCGCCUCUCAGCGCCCCGCCGCCGCCAUCUUGCAUUUCAAACCGGCUGCACUUUUCAGGGAGUCAACUCUGACCUGUGAACCCUACACCCGGAACCGCUCGGCGGGCCGGCACACGGCCUAGGCAGCUCGGCGGGCCCUGCAGAGCGUGGAGGGUCGGGGGUGGGGGUGCGAGGCGAGGCGCGCGCCCCAGCGGCCGACCGGGGGCGGGGAGGGAGGGAAGGAGCCGGCCGAGGCGGGGCCCUCCCGCGCGCGCGCCGUCCGCGCGCCCCCACCCCGCUCCGCGCCAGGCUCUCUACUCACGGACCCGGCUGCUCCCCUGGGGUUCGACCCGGGUCUCUACCCUCUGGAUUGGCGCACGGGGAGGUCUCGAAGCGGCCCCGCCCCUUGCGGGCGGUAGCUCCACCCACCAACAGAAGACUUGUCUUUACUCAGCCUCAUCUCCUGGUGGCAGUCCAUCCAAGCCCCGCCCCUUCAUCGGAAUCCCCGCCCACUGUCAAAAGAAGCCCCGCCUUGCUGAGACCAGUCUGGAUUCCAGCCCGAAACCCCACUUUCUGUCAACCGCCGGCCCGCCUCUUCUCGCCUGCGGGUGCCUACCCCAGCACAAACCGCAGCUCCACCCGCUGACACCGAAAGUUCAGUUCAGCCUCACUUCGAACUGCAGUUGAAGACGGAACCACCCUUUGCUUCCCAAAGUCCUCCUUUUCCCCCAUGCCUGCCCCUUCCCCCCUCUCCCCCCACCCGCCGCCCCGCUCACGAGCCUCUCCGCUGAAGGGCUUUCUUUUAAAGAUAUGGUCUUCACCGGACAGCUUCAAUGGGAGCUAGUCCCGAAGAAGAUGCCAGCCAAGGACCCAGGCUUUGGGGAAAACCGGACGGCGUCACCGCCCCUCCUCACCUCCGCUUCCCUUCCCCCACCCCCACAUCCUUUUUAAAAUUAUGAAACGUGCAAACCAAAGCGGAGAGAAACGUCUCACCCUCCAAGCUGCUCUGCACAGAUUCAUGGGCCUGGACGCUCAACCCUCUGUGCUUUGACAGUAGUACUCCACUGAGCCACAUUAAUCCUAAAAUGUGCAGUUGCUUAAAGUACAACCCUGAUUGUUGAAAUCGAUAUACAGCAGUUUCUUUUUAUUUAUAUGUUUUGUCUUAGAAUCCUAGAACUUGGGGAAACAGAAGCAAGUGAAGCUUAAUGAUCUUAUAAACAGAGAUACUCAACCCUACCAUACCCAACAUCCUGUAUUUACAACAAAAAUGUACCACCACUUUGCUCUCCUGGAAUUAAAUUCGCAGAUAAUGUAAACUACACAAAUAAGUUCAAUAAACCAGUGUAUGUUAUAAAGGUGGAAAAAGAG